rnacentral:rRNA from 1 species
GUAUUAGUUAAGAUCUUGAAAUCCAAAGGAUUUGGCGGUAUUUUAGUCUUUUCAGAGGAAUCUGUCCCUUAAUCGACAAUCCACGAGAUUAAUUACUUUCUUUUGUUUUCAGUUUGUAUACCUCCGUCAUAAGGAUGUCCUUAUAGGGUUAAUUUUCUUGAUUAAUCAAUUUAAUUAUGUCAGGUCAAGGUGCAGUUUAUGAGAAAGUGGAGAUGGAUUACAAUAAAUUUAUUUAUAUGGAUAAAUGGUUUUGAAGCCGUUUUGAAGGUGGAUUUGUAAGUAAAAUUAUUUAUUAAUUUUUUUGAUUUUGGCUCUAAAAUAUGCACACAUCGCCCG